rnacentral:rRNA from 1 species
CAUGCCGUAAACGUUGUCAACUUGAUGUGGGGGGAUUUAGUCCUCUCCGUAUCGAAGCUAACGCGAUAAGUUGACCGCCUGGGGACUACGGCCGCAAGGCUAAAACUCAAAGGAAUUGACGGGGGCCCGCACAAGCGGUGGAGCAUGUGGCUUAAUUCGAGGCAACGCGAAGAACCUUACCUGGUCUUGAAAUAUAUCGGAUCGCCUGUGAAAGCAGGUUUCCCUUCGGGGCUGAUAUACAGGUGC